AUGUCACCAGUAAGAGAGGGGAGCAGCCUUGGGCUGGACAGUUUUCAGACUGGAUUAAAAGGUGGAGCAGCUGAUAGUCAGAGGACCCACCUGAGCCAAAUGUCAACACCAUUACAGCAUGGCUGCGGUGAGCUGUAUUCAGGGACCCUGGAGUUUCUCUCCAGCCCAACACUCUGCCUCACACCAGAGAGCUCCUCCCUCAGCAGUUACACUUGUUUCAAUCAUACCCUGUUUGUCUUCAAAGGCAGCUGGGAUUAGGAGCCUAACACAUGCAAAGAGAGGUCCGGGAUAAGAAAUGGGCAAUGAAAAACAGCCACGGACAUUCAUGAAGAGUAAGUCAGCCUUCAGCCCCAGAUGUGUUCAUCUUGCCUUACAAAUAUUAAACGUAAUCCAGUAUCAGCUGUUGCACAGGGCUGGGGUAGGUUUGCCCCCAGAGAAUGAGCACAGGCAGAAACAUUAGCAGAACAAACUGAUAUCUGCAGCACAUUCCUGGAUGUGUUAAUAAAAGAGCUGCAGGGUAAAGCUCA
rnacentral:lncRNA from 1 species